AGGGGGCAACUCCUCAUUCAGUGGCGAACGGGUGAGUAAUGCAUCGGAACGUGUCCCGUAGUGGGGGAUAACGCCGCGAAAGCGGCGCUAAUACCGCAUACGCUCUGUGGAGGAAAGCAGGGGACCCGCGAGGGCCUUGUGCUAGGGGGGCGGCCGAUGUCCGAUUAGCUAGUUGGUGGGGUAAUGGCUUACCAAGGCGACGAUCGGUAGCUGGUCUGAGAGGAUGAUCAGCCACACUGGGACUGAGACACGGCCCAGACUCCUACGGGAGGCAGCAGUGGGGAAUUUUGGACAAUGGGGGCAACCCUGAUCCAGCCAUGCCGCGUGCGGGAAGAAGGCCUUCGGGUUGUAAACCGCUUUUAGCCGGGAAGAAAAGGAUACGGAUAACACCCGUAUUUUUUGACGGUACCGGCGGAAUAAGCACCGGCUAACUACGUGCCAGCAGCCGCGGUAAUACGUAGGGUGCGAGCGUUAAUCGGAAUUACUGGGCGUAAAGCGUGCGCAGGCGGUUCGUUGUGUCGGCGGUGAAAGCCCCGGGCUCAACCUGGGAAUGGCCGUUGAAACUGGCGAACUGGAGUGUGGCAGAGGGGGGUGGAAUUCCGCGUGUA
rnacentral:rRNA from 1 species